AGCAGCCGCGGUAAUUCCAGCUCCAAUAGCGUAUAUUAAAGUUGUUGCAGUUAAAAAGCUCGUAGUUGAACUUCGGGGUCUACCCAUUGGUCAGGCUUAAUUGUCUGCACUGGUGAGAUGGAUCUCUACCUUCUGAGGAACUUUCAUGCCAUUUAUUUGGUGUGGUUGGAAAUCAGGACUGUUACUUUGAAAAAAUUGAGUGUUUAAAGCAGACUAUCGUCUGAAUACAUUAGCAUGGAAUAAUGAAAUAGGACGGACUGAUUCUAUUUCGUGGUUCUAGGAUCACCGUAAUGAUUAAUAGGGAUAGUUGGGG
rnacentral:rRNA from 1 species